UCUGCGUAAACAAGCGGAGGGCAUUUUUAAUAACCCGUCGCAAAGCUGGGCUGCCGGGACCCGGGGCGGGGGGCUGGGGCACAGCCGAAAGCACCCCCCGGGAGUCGUUCACGGCCGCCGCCGGCGCUGACCACGGCCUUGGCGGAGGAGGUCCGGGUUCGGCCCCAGAGAGGAUCCCUCAUCUGCGGUGAACUGCAAUGCCAGGGGCGACAGCGACAUCAAUUUUCUUCUGCUCCUUCAACCCCUCCCUCAACCGAGGACUUGAAGACUGAGGAUAUCUCAGUUUUAUAUCCUCCUGCAAAAUGAGACUGCUGGCAAGGAUCCCUAGCAGGUUUUUUUUCGAAGAACAGCCACAACAGAAUGUCACAAGACAAACUCAGUGAAAGCUACCCAAGAAUAAAACCUGGCUCACUGAUACUGAGUGUAUUUGAAACUCCCCUCCUGCGCACAGUCAUCUGAGGUGUUUGGAUUUGCAGCUUUGCGCUACCACACCUGUGUUAGUUACCUGGCGAGUGCAUCUUUUACAUUUCACGCGUUGUCUGUCUCUCAAUACACACACAGAUGCAUGCACGUAUAUUCACACUGCAGUGGGCAAAAAUGAUCAAACAGAACUGAUACAUUGUGCAAUGAAACACAGUAAAAAUGUUGAGGAAAAGGCUAUGUAGAAAAGACUUUUAGACAACUGUGUUCAUCUACACGUGUGUAAGUGAAAACAGGCAACUUUGUCUCAACACUAAAAGAACUUGUUGAUUAAAAAGAAGAUAACCAAUAUGCAAAAAA